UGGCGGACGGGUGAGGAAUACAUCGGAAUCUACUCUGUCGUGGGGGAUAACGUAGGGAAACUUACGCUAAUACCGCANACGACCUACGGGUGAAAGCAGGGGAUCUUCGGACCUUGCGCGAUUGAAUGAGCCGAUGUCGGAUUAGCUAGUUGGCGGGGUAAAGGCCCACCAAGGCGACGAUCCGUAGCUGGUCUGAGAGGAUGAUCAGCCACACUGGAACUGAGACACGGUCCAGACUCCUACGGGAGGCAGCAGCC
rnacentral:rRNA from 1 species